GACGAACGCUGGCGGCGUGCCUAAUACAUGCAAGUCGAACGCAGUUGGGACGGGUGAGUAACACGUGGGUAACCUCCCAUCAGAGGGGAUAACACUUGGAAACAGGUGCUAAACCGUUACUGAUGGAUGGACCCGCGGUGCAUUAGCUAGUUGGUGAGGUAACGGCUGACCAAGGCCAGGAUGCAUAGCCGGGCUGAGAGGGUGGGCGGCCGCAUGUGGAAUGAGACACGGCCCAGACUCCUGUGGGAGGCAGUAGUGAGGAUGCUUCGGCAAUGGACGAAAGUCUGACCGAGCAACGCCGCGUGAAUGAAGAAGUUUUGCGGGUCGUAAAUCUCUGUUGUUAGAGAAGCGGUAUCUAACUAGAAAGCCACGGCUAACUACGUGACAGCAGCCGCGAAUAC
rnacentral:rRNA from 1 species